AUUGAACGCUGGCGGCAGGCCUAACACAUGCCAGUCGAGCGGAUGAAGGGAGCUUGCUCCUGGAUUCAGCGGCGGACGGGUGAGUAAUGCCUAGGAAUCUGCCUGGUAGUGGGGGAUAACGUCCGGAAACGGGCGCUCAUACCGCAUACGUCCUGAGGGAGAAAGUGGGGGAUCUUCGGACCUCACGCUAUCAGAUGAGCCUAGGUCGGAUUAGCUAGUUGGUGGGGUAAAGGCCUACCAAGGCGACGAUCCGUAACUGGUCUGAGAGGAUGAUCAGUCACACUGGAAAUGAGACACGGUCCAGACUCCUACGGGAGGCAGCAGUGGGGAAUAUUGGACAAUGGGCGAAAGCCUGAUCCAGCCAUGCCGCGUGAGUGAAGAAGGUCUUCGGAUUGUAAAACACUUUAAGUUGGGAGGAAGGGCAGUAAGUUAAUACCUUGCUGUUUUGACGUUACCAACAGAAUAAGCACCGGCUAACUUCGUG
rnacentral:rRNA from 1 species